UAAGCCACGUCCCUAAGCACCACAUCCACAUGUCUUUUCAAUACCUCCAGAGUUGGGGACUGGGCUACUUUCCGAAGCAGCCUGUUCCAUUGCUUGGCAAGCCUUUCAAGGAUAAACUGUUAUGAGACAUGCACAUGGCUUGAAACAGAUAAUUGUUGAUAACCCUGACUGGUGGGAGAAGGAGCCAUCUGGCAGAUGGAAAACAAGAAGCUUUCAUGGUGUUGAUCUGUGGGAGGAAUUCCAGCUCUUCAUGGAUCAAGGGAAGACAGGACACCUCACAUUUUGCACUGAUUCUCAUUGAAUUUGUGUUGGCCCAGACUUUGCACAGUCAAUAAUGCAGGCCCAUUCUUGUGUUCCUUUCAUAAUCUUAUGGUGCAGGGAGCCCUGAGCUGCAAAAUAAAGUAAAUACAAGGAAAUUUUCCAACUUGCAAAUAAAAAACAGUCUGUGUUGUA